CAUUAUCACUAAUCAAGCCCGGCUUGCUGUUGGACCUCUUGUCGUCAAAAGACAGGCCCCAAAGAUAAUGACGGUGUUAUUAGAACCCUAGAUGCAACGAGCUUUUAACCAGCACGCAUGAUAGUGGCCUUUUAACCCGGUCUUUUUAACCAUUUUUUAAUGUUGACCUCGGAUCAGGUAGGAAUACCCGCUGAACUUAA
rnacentral:misc_RNA from 1 species